GACGAACGCUGGCGGCGUGCUUAACACAUGCAAGUCGAACGGAAAGGCCCUGCUUGCAGGGUACUCGAGUGGCGAACGGGUGAGUAACACGUGGGUGAUCUGCCCUGCACUUCGGGAUAAGCCUGGGAAACUGGGUCUAAUACCGGAUAGGAGCCAUUUUUAGUGUGAUGGUUGGAAAGUUUUUUCGGUGUAGGAUGAGCUCGCGGCCCAUCAGCUUGUUGGUGGGGUAAUGGCCUACCAAGGCGGCGACGGGUAGCCGGCCUGAGAGGGUGGACGGCCACAUUGGGACUGAGAUACGGCCCAGACUCCUACGGGAGGCAGAAGUGGGGAAUAUUGCACAAUGGGCGCAAGCCUGAUGCAGCGACGCCGCGUGGGGGAUGACGGCCUUCGGGUUGUAAACUCCUUUCGCUAGGGACGAAGCUUUUUGUGACGGUACCUAGAUAAGAAGCACCGGCUAACUACGUG
rnacentral:rRNA from 1 species